CAGUAGCCGCGGUAACACGGAGGGGGCUAGCGUCGUUCGGAAUUACUGGACGUAAAGCGCACGUAGGCGGCUUGGUAAGUUAGAGGUGAAAGCCUGGAGCUCAACUCCAGAAUUGCCUUUAAGACUGCCGAGCUAGCAGGUGAGAGAGGUAAGUGGAAUUCCGAGUGUAGAGGUGAAAUUCAUAGAUAUUCGGAAGAACACCAGUGGCGAAGGCGGCUUACUGGCUCAUACUGGACGCUGAGGUGCGAAAGCGUGGGGAGCAAACAGGAUUAGAUACCCGCGUAGUCCCUGUCUCUUAUAA
rnacentral:rRNA from 1 species